GCAAGUCGAGCGGAAACGAUCCUAGCUUGCUAGGAGGCGUCGAGCGGCGGACGGGUGAGUAACGCGUAGGAAUCUACCUGAUUGUGGGGGAUAGCCCAGAGAAAUUUGGAUUAAUACCGCAUACGCCCUACGGGGGAAAGGAGGGGAUCUUCGGACCUUUCGCUGUCAGAUGAGCCUGCGUGAGAUUAGCUUGUUGGUGGGGUAAAGGCUCACCAAGGCGACGAUCUCUAGCUGGUCUGAGAGGAUGAUC
rnacentral:rRNA from 1 species